UCGAGGGCCCGAUACUCAGACCCUCCGCCUGGGGACUACGAGCAUUAGCUUAAAACCCAAAGGACUUGGCGGUGCUUUACCCCCCACUAGAGGAGCCUGUUCUAGAACUGAUAACCCCCGUUGAACCUCACCAUCCCUCGUUUUAACCCGCCUAUAUACCGCCGUCGUCAGCUUACCCUGUGAAGGUCAAAUAGUAAGCAAAAAUGGCUAAGCCAAAAACGUCAGGUCGAGGUGUAGUGAAUGGGAUGGGAAGAAAUGGGCUACAUUCUCUGUUACAGAGAAUACGAAUGGCAGCCUGAAAACCCUGCCUGAAGGUGGAUUUAGCA
rnacentral:rRNA from 1 species